GGGAAACGGAUUUUGGACACAGAAGGAACCAGAGGAGCCGCUUUUUGGAAACAAAAUGCUAGGAAGGUGUGUGCUGUGAAAGAAGGAGAUUUGCAGCAGUUACAAGGAAGCAAAAAAAGAAGACUGAGUCGGCGAGAUGAUAAUGGUCUAGAGGCAGUGUACGACACAAUUGAAGAGGUGGUCCUGGCAGCACAGGGUCUUCAGGAGGUGUCAACUACAAUUAAG